rnacentral:lncRNA from 1 species
UUAACUCAAUAUCGAAUCAAAAAGACAAACAUAUUUAUAUUUUUCUUCAGAUGUGUUUGAUGCUGGAAAUUGUAGAUAUAAAUAUAGUCAUGUAGACAAUUAAUGAUAAGUGGAGGGCGAGAAUUAUUUUUUUAUAUUAAAAUGUCUAUAACUACUAAAAUGCAUCCAAAGCAGAGAUAAAAAUUAAAAUAAAAUAAAAAAAUCAUGCCUUCAUUUAAUAAAAAUCGUUAUGUGUUUAUCAUUUACCUUUAUUUUUUUCAUAGAAUUCGCAUCAUAUAAAAUUUUUAAACUUCCUUUGUGUAUGAACAUUUGCAUCACUAACGGGUCGGGCUACCGCAUGAUGAUGGGGCGUCAAGAUCCGAAUAGUAUUGUUAGUCGCAUCGAGAUCCUGGUUCUACCAUUCUCUUGAUAUUUUUCGCUUCUUCAAUGGCGAUGGAAAACACCAGCUUGACGAAACAACUUUGAGCUGGAAAUUAGAACGGAAUCGGGCUUCCAACGGAGGCUUAAAAUAUAACCCAUUUGGUGGGGGUUUGAGUUUAGGUGGAAACGGGUUAUUGCAAAUGGUUAGUGGUGACUGCUUCCUUAUUUGAUUCUGCUCCUUAGGGAAUUCAAAUUCAAUGUGGUGUUGAUCCAAUAGUGGUUGUUGUUCUUGGCUCUUGGGAACACCGGGUCGGAUCUCCCACUUGAAUGGAACGGCACCUGCUUUUUUGAAUGAAUAAUCAUAUGUCUCCAUGUUUUUGGAUUGGUGAGAA